rnacentral:lncRNA from 1 species
GGAGCUUUUGUCUCCGAGUCGAGAUAGUUAGGUUGGUUGGUCGAGGUCCUCCUCCAGCGGAGCUCCGGGGCGUAAGCCAGGCGCUUCCGUCGAUGCCUGCUCGGAGCCACUUCGGUGAGUUCUCGACUGAUUUUCCAGGUUAUUCUCUUGCUUCCGCAAUAAGCGCUUUGAAGAAGGGUUUACAUUGUUGUUUUACUUGAUCUUACUACCUAUUAAUCUCAAGUCCUCUUUGUUUGAGGCUUGGAAUUAAUCUUUAUGUAUCCUAGUGGUUUUUUAAUUUUUUGCGGUCACUAGGAUCAGAUGAGCUCUCUGCAGAUUGUGGUUCAAUUAAGUUUGUAACCAAACUUUUAUUUCAUCAAUGAUAUUUACCAUUUAGCAAAAAAAAAAAAAUUUGUGUAUAUAUAAUCAAUAACAACUUUUUAGUUCACUACUAUACUUAAUUUGGUGGAAAUGGUACACUGUCAUUAACUGAUUAUCUCUAUUGAAAGAAGGGUUUAUGAAUAUGAUGGAACAUAUAAAUGAGCCUACUUAAUUACUAGUACGCUGUAAACUUGAAAGGUCGAGGAGCUUGGAGCAACACUCGUUUUUAUUAUGACCCUACGUAUGUUUUCUGUUGUCGAGCUUUAUAAAAAAAAAUUGAAUUCGAUAAGUCUGUACCUAUAAUCUUCCUAAGCUAGGGAGUAGGGACAAGAGCCAGUUAUUAUUUCUUCUCCGCAGCUAGAGCUUUAUAAUUUCAUGUGAAGAUUUCGUAGGUGAGUUAAAAUAAAACCUUGUAAUGUAUUCUAUACAUAAAACUCGUAAGAAAAUCUCUAUUGCAAAAUUGUAUAGUGUAGAUAAAGUGCAAAUAUAUUUUAUUUAAUUAAUUAUAAUUAUUGUUACUCCUGGUAGUCUUGGAGCAUUAUUAUUAGUAUGGAUAUCCCAUGAGAUAUCUAACCUAUACAAUUUUAAUUUGGUUUAUGUAAUUAAUUUUAAAUAUAAAAAGUAAACCAAUUAUAAGAAAAUACAUCAUCAUAUAUGAAUAUCCAAUUUUUUUAAUAUUUUAUUUGGUUUUCUUUUUCUUAUCUUUUAUUUUACGGCAAAUCAUGUCGAUAACCCUAAAACAUUCGAAAAUAGUAUUAAUUAAAUAAGAAAAGAUUAACUAUCUUAAACCCUAAACCUUGAUUAUAAUCCGCAUCCUUAAAUAGUUUAAGGAUCCUAAUUCAAAAGGUAUGUCCAAUGGUGUUCUCCAAUUUAGAGUCCUUAGGAAUUAAAAAAAAUAAUAAACUUUUUAUAAAAGUGAAAUUAAAUUUUUUUAUUUAUUGCAUGAUUAAAUAGAAAGAUACAACAUUUAUUAAUCUUCAAUCACCAAAUUUGUUCCAAAUAUUUUCAAUUAAAUCAUUUUUCAAUUGUUGAUGUAAACGCUUAUCGUGAACAUCAUCCCGAAUGCCGAGCAUAUUAGCGAUAUUUGAAUGCCGAGCAGAUUAUGGAUAUUUGUAGGCCUCUCGGUAUCCACCCGUGAACUUCUGCUGUUGUCUCCUUCUUCAAAUUCAUAUAGAUCGUACCGAAUAUAUCCAUCUCGUUCGUUUUCGACUAUCAUAUUGUGUAGUAUGAUAUAUGCUCGCAUAAUGUUCCCUAUCUUUUCUUUGUCCAAUGAAAGAGCCGGAUUUUUCACAAUCGCAAAUCGAGCUUGCAAUACUCCAAAAGCCCGUUCCACGUUUUUUCUGGUUGCUUCUUGAAUUCUAGCAAAUAACUCUGCUUUAGGACCUUGAGAGUGCGAUAUAGAUUGGAUAAAUGUUGACCAUUUGGGAUAUAUACCGUCUGUGAGGUAGUACGCCAACUUAUACUUGUGUCUGUUGACCACGUACUCUAACCUGGGAGCUCGGCCUUGGAAAAUCUCAUCAAAAACAGGAGACCGAUCGAGGACAUUAAUAUCGUUUAAGGUACCUGGAGGACCAAAAAAAUUGUGUCAUAUCCAAAGAUCUUGUGAAGCCACAGCCUCUAAGACAAUUGUCGGUUUUCCUGAUCCACGUGCGUACUGUCCUUUCCAAGCGGUUGGGCAAUUCUUUCACUCCCAAUGCAUACAGUCAAUGCUUCCUACCAUCCCAGGAAACCCGCGUUUGUCUCCCAUAUCGAACAGUCGUUGAAGAUCCUCUGGUAUGGGUCUUCGUAGAUACUCAUCUCCAAAUAACUGUAUUAUUCCGUCAGUGAAAUGGUGUAAACACGAAAGUGCCGUGCUUUCACCAAGUCGGAGAUAUUUGUCUACCGUGUCAGCCGCAGUACCAUAAGCAUGCAGACGAAUAGCUGCUGUACAUUUUUGUAGUGGAGAAAGACCAAACCUCCCGGUUGCAUCUCUUCUUUGUUGAAAGAAUGGAACGUUCUCUGAGAGGCCAUGAACAAGACGCAAGAAUAAAUCCUUAUUCAUGCGGAAACGGCGUCUGAAUAAAUAUGUCGAGAAUGUCGAAUCUUCGGUGAAGUAGUCAUCCCAUAAGCGGCUGUGUCCCGCUUCACGGUUUCGUUCUAUAUAAGCUUGUUUCCUUUGCUUACUGGUUUUGGCCUCCACUAUGUCGUUGUAUGUAUCUUCCAAGAUAUCGUCGAAAAUUUCGUUCAAUCUUUCUUCGACUUCAUCGGACGAAGAUGAUGACAUUUUUAGGUAUUCUAUUUGAAAAAAAAUAUUAAACAAAAAUAGUUUCAAAUUUUAGUAAGGAAUUUUAGUUCUUUAUUUUUUGUGAAGAAUAUUAGUUCUAUAUUUUACUAAAGAAAUUAUCUAUACAAGAGUUUAUCCAAAAAAAUAAUAUUAUAGUAAUACAUGAAAUAUAUAUUUAUAUAUAAUUAGUAAACAAGAAGUGAUAGUAGUUACCUAUUUAAGUGAAGCAGUACUUCUUGAUUACAACUUUUAGCAACUGGUAAACGAGAAGUGAUAGUAGCAAAAGCUUACAACAACUUGAUAGCAAGAAUAUUACAUAGGAAACGAAAUACGGCAGUAGCAAAAGGAAACGUAAGGAAAGAAGAACUUGUGGAAACUAAAGACGAGCUGGAGUGAAACUUAUAGAACAUGGAGUGAUACAGUAGAACCCGUGAGUUGGUUCACAUGAAGCUAAACAACAAAACACUUUCAGAAAUGCACCCGUGACUUGGUUCACAUGUCCUACUGCUUAACCUGAAACAACACAAAAGACAAGAGUUGGCUAAUUAUUAAAGUUAUAUGACAUGUGACUAGAUAGCUAACUACGCAAUACAACAUGUCUACCUAAUACGCCAAGAGUUAGCUAACUACUCAGGACAACUCCAAACAAGAUAGCUAACAGCUCAAUGCAACAUGUCUAAUACGCCAAGAGUUACCAAAUAACACAAUACCUAAACUCAUAACAUCUCAGACAUAAGUUUGAGUUUAAGAGAUGUUUCCAUCUCAGUGAGUGGAUCUUUUUUGGCAAGUAAACGGUCGAGCAGUUUCUGUUUAGAGAGUUUUUCUUUCAUUUCCAUGAUGGCAUGUAUAUGUGACAACUCCUCUUCUUUACCACUCUUCUUCCUCUUAGUAGCAGCUUUAGCAGCCUUGACACCCCACGGGCCUAGCCUCUGGUUCUCCCACUUCAUCUUCUGUGUAUACCUCCUGCACUUGUUUGCGCUUUUCUUUCCCACUGUGAUUAGCCAGAUAGGUAGAGGACCAUUUCUUGUCAUGCCUCAGCUCCCUCCAGGCAUGUUCCAGGGUGAACAUGUAAUUGUGAUCAUUGUAGAAGUAGUCUAGUGCAGCUUUCAUCACAUCAUCAUCAUUUUGACCACUUCUCUGCUCCCUCAGAGCCGCAUCAUAGCAUCCAACGAACUUGGACACUUGCUCGUUAAUACUAGCCCAUCUUUGCUUGCACUGACCAACCUCUCUAGGUAUUGUCCCAACCAGCUGAGGGCUUGCGUUGUAGUAGUCUACAAUCCUCCUCCAGAAUGCACCAGCUUUCUGCUCAUUGCUCACCACCGCAUCUUUACUGGUGUUAAGCCAAGCCCCAAUAAGGAUUUUAUCCUCUUUCAGAGACCAUUUCCUCCUCUCCUUCACAACAGACUCGACAACAGACUCAUCAGGACCUUGGCUACCCAACCAAAAAGGUUCAUAUGAAUCAAGGUCAACUGGAGAUUGAGAUUGCCUAAACAGUAGGUUAACAUAACUAGUGUUCUUAUCCAUGGUUAGAGAAGUGGUCUGUGUCACUCUAAUAGCAACACAGAGCCUUAAGUAGGCGAGCUUUACUUAAGAAACAUUUAAAGGCAAUAAAAUCCGAGCAGUUAGGAAGGUAGAAAGAAAACUAGUUGCAUUAAACACCAAUCAAAUCAGACUAACACCGAAUUCAUUAGGUUGUAAAACAUUUAAAACAAUCCAAUCUGAGGCGGUAGGAAGGUAGAAAGCAAAACAACUAGCAUUUAACACCAAUACAUUCAAAGAAAAGAGACUACUAUUAUUUUUGACGUUUUAAUUUUUAUUAUUCAAAGAAAAUACAGUACUAUAUGUUUUUUAUAAUUCAAAGAAAAGUCACUAGGAAGUUGUAGUUUCGUACCUUAUUAUACAGACACUCUCGAGGUUUUAGACACUCUGGUUUACUUCUUUGAAGCUCUUGCUGCAAAAACAUGAGAUCAAACAGUCAAAAGUUUUACAAAAUUGCAUAAAGGACAACCAAAAGCAGAAGAGAUAAACUUACCAGUCAGAAACAUGACCGCCAGACCUAAAAAAACUAACACAGAGACCAGUAGCCCAACUUCCAAUGCAAAGCCAUUUCUAACCCCUGAUUUCUUCUUAGAUAACUCACAGACGGUCUUCUGUAGCUUAACCAGCUUCUAGUCACACUCAAAACCUUGAUCCUUAAGCUGCCUAAGUUGUCUCUGAAUGUCACUCAUAUCCUCUGUAACAGCCACAUCCCACCAUUUCCAUAUGUGGCAGUCCCCAUCAUCGAUAUUGUCGCAGGUGAAGUACCUUCUCCCUGGGUCUUUACGCGUGUAAGAUGUUGCAUCAACAGGCUCACCACCACAGUAGCAUGUCGUCGGGAUUCCAUCAUCAGCCUCAGGUUGAGGUGGGUACUGAACCGGCUCAGCAAUAUGGUAGCUACUCUCAGAUCCAUCGGCGUACAGUUCAGCUUCUGCUUGAAGAAGGGACGUUAUGUCAUACUCGUUUGAUGAAGAAGGCUGGGUGUACGAAUAAUCUUGUCCCAUGAUUCGUUAACCUGAAAGAAAUUAUGUAAGCGAAGAAGAUAACGAAGUAGAUAAUAAAGUACACUAAAUAGAUAACAUUAAGAUAAAGCGAAAUGGAUAAUAAACAACAACAAUCACAGAGUAUUAUAGAAACAAACACCGAUUGAACAAAACAGAGGGAUCGAGUUAACAAAACAUGACAAAAGAGUAGAUCCCCAAAUUGACAAAACAUGACAAAAAAGUAAGAAAUCGAUUGUAAGAACAAACGAGUAGAUCCCCAAAUCGUUUGAAACCAAAAUCCUUUUCAAACCCUAACUACAAACGACCUAAACCCCAAAUCGAUUGAAAACCCAGUUUUUCUAAACUCUAAUUUCAAACGUAAAUAUCCCCAAAUCGAUUGAAAACACAAAACCGAACACUAAAUUGAGAGGAAAACAACAUCGAACCUAAUCUAAAUCCAUAAAUCUGCACGAGAAGGCUUCGAUUUACCUUCGUAUCGGGACGGAUCGAAAUCGCCUUUCCUCGAGAGCUUUUCUUUUUUUCUCGGCUUCGGUUGAAAAUGAAAUUUUUUUUUUGGUAUACGAAAGACGAAAGCCGACCGAACGUAUCACCGGCUGCCACGUCUCUAAGGAUCAACGCCUUUAAAUCCUUAGUUACGGAUUCAUCCUUAGCUUAUUUAGCUCAAAUAAUAUUUUUAUAAUCCGACAAGCAUAUGAUUAACCGCUAAGGACCAUCAACGUUCCCCCAUUGCAGCUGCUCUUAUCGCCCUUGCUUUCCUCGUUCCUCUUUCUGAUUUCUUUUUAGCCGGGUGUUAUUUUAAUUAUUUUCCUGACAUUAUUUUCUUCUAGGUCUUUUUGUUCCUAAGUUCUUUUCAUUAGUGUUAAAAAAAAAGUUAUUUUCAUUAAAAAGCCUUGUUUUCAAAUAUUUUCAGUUCCAGUACUUCUUUAAUUUUAUUUUGUUAGUAAAUUCACUCUUUUUCUUCAUUUAGUUUUUAGUAAUAUUAAUUUAUUUUUCUUUAAAAUGUAUUUUUAUUGAAAAAUAUAAAACAGAUUUAUAUAAUAUUAUUAAAUAAAAUAUUAAUUAAUUUAUGCUCCCACUUAAAAUAUUUUUUAAAUCCGCCACUGAGUUGAUCUAUUCUAUGUCGAUAACACUAAAACAUUCGAAAAUAGUAUUAAUUAAAUAAGAAAAGAUUAACUAACUUAAACCCUAAACCUUGAUUAUAAUCCGCAUCCUUAAAUAUUAAAUAAUAAAUCUAAUCUGCAUCCUUAAAUAUUUAUCGUAUAAUUAAUUAUUUUUAUUUUUAUUUUGAUAUAUUAAUUAAUCGUACAAAUAUGUGUAUAUUUUUAUUUUUAGCAUUUAAUAAAUAUUAUUUUGAAGAUUUUUUUUCUAUUAUUUUAAAAUAAAAACCUUUUUAGUAAAAUUAGAAUUUUGUUUUUACUGUUUUAAAUUUUGAGAGAUUCACUUGCAUAUAUUGAUUUCUAUAUUUACAAGAAGAAGAAGUGAAAAAGAAACGUCUUUUUUUAAAAAAUAUUUAAACGGCUUUUAUAUUAAAAAAAAUUUGUGUUUUUUUUUAAAUGCAGAAAGUUAAGAUUAAAACUUAAAAAAAAUAAUAAUAAAAAAGAAGAACCAAACCAAACGCUAAACAAUCUGUUUGCUAAACCGUAAUAGACCAUGAAACCCUAAUCGAUAGAGAAGGACAAAAGUAGUGAUCGCUGCCAUCAAAUGGAACCCGCCGGAAUCUUCUUCCGCAGAGACGCUAUAUCGACUGCGGUUCAUCGCAUAAAUUGGAGCACCAGAGCUGAAGCAAGCCAGAAGAUGGAUAAGCUUCCAUCGGGAAGGAAACCGAAAGAUGGAGUAAUUUUCGCCGGGAAGAAAAACAGAAAAACAAAGUAGUGAGCAUGCACUAUCAGACGCAAUAGAAAGGCACAGCGAAGAUGAGAAGCUGAAAAAGAAAAGAAAAGACACUACAAGAUUAAGGAAACGGUUAUAAACCAUAUGAUGGAUGUCCAUAAUCGAGAAAGACAGACGGCCGGUUUAGAGAGAGACGGCCAGUUUCCAUAAUCCCUCAUUUAUGAUUUGUACUAUUUCUAUAUUGUGUUUUCCUUUUCCUAGUUGUAUUAGGAUUUUUAAUCUUUUCAUUUAUCUAUGACGGUGUAAUUCCCUACAUAUAAAAGGUUCCUUAUGAUUGAUUAAUAAUAAG